rnacentral:misc_RNA from 1 species
GGGGAAUGGGAGUCAUGAUGGGGCUUGUGCAAUUUGCUUAAAUAAGAUAGCACUUCAAGAAACUGCUUUAGUGAGAGGCUGCGAGCACGCCUAUUGUGCGACUUGCAUCCUUCGAUGGGCCUCAUACACUCAAAAACCGACUUGUCCACAAUGUAAACAUCCAUUUGAGUUCCUGAUCGUUCAUCGUUCUCUUGAUGGGAGCAUCCAUGACUAUAUGUUCGAGGAGAGUGUAUGCCUGCUUUUGAGAGCUUCGUGGUACAAACCACUGAUCGUUGAAGAGCGGGAGGAAACCUAUGAUGAUCCUGAGGACGAUCAAUACUAUCCUUAUGAUCCUUAUGAGGAUGACAAUGAAGAGUUUGAGGAUGCUUACCUGGGUGUAUCACCAAGUCUCCGUAUCGGAAAUCGAAGGUGGGGAGACAAUGGAUACGUGAGGGCAGGUCGACAAGAAGCCCGACCAGUUCUUAGGUCCGAGUUUGCUGGACCUAGUUCAUCGAGGGAGCCUGUAACGAAACAUGCUUCCAAAGAUAAAACAGGUCGACGAGCUAAAAGGGCCCUGAAACGGGAAGCUGCUGAUAAAGCAGCAGCAGCUAAGCAUCAAGAACAUCUGGCUAGGUUUGGCCGGAAAUGAUUUUAUGUUUAAAGCUCCUGUAUAGAAUAAGCUCUGCUCUUUU